GAAGGAACUAGGAGAGCAAUCUUCAUAUGUUGGAAAUGAAGAGAAAAUCAAAUGUAGAUAGGCAGGAAAAGGAUGCUAGCACAAUGAAUUCAACCUUACAUUCUCCAUGAAGCAAUCAGGAAGAGUUUCCUUCAUAUUCCCCAAAAUUUAUGGCUGUAUCCUCCAUUGCUUCAACGGUCUUCUCAUAGAGUCUCAUAGAGGUCAAACAAUUUUAGCAAAGUCUCUGAGCAUAUUGAUUAACUUGAAAGCAAAACUCAAGACACAACUGACCUGGGCCAGAACAACUACCUAGCAGAUCAGUGAACACUCAGUAUCUCACACCGAAAUCAUCAGGAAGUAUAAACAAAGAGAUUACACAGAAGAGAUUACACAGUCUUCAGAUACAACAAGUCAGAAGGUCUCCAACAAAACCUAGUGGAAUUAAUUCAUGUUUUAAAUUUCACCAGAAUGUAAUGUAAACAACUAUAGGAAUGAUAUAGACAACGUUUAAAUUAAAUUUUGCAAUGAAUAAUUUAUGUUUUCAAACAAGGAAUAGAAGUCCUACUCAAUUGCAUAGUUUCAAGGGUGGCUUUAAUAAUUUACAUACUUUCCAAUGGUGAAUAAAAUAUCCUCUUGAACAACUAACGAAACA
rnacentral:lncRNA from 1 species